CAGAGUGAAAUGAGGACAGCAACUUUAUUUUUGGAGAAACACAGCCCUUUCUAAGGGCAGAGCUCAAUGAAGACAUCAAAGAUUCUCUCAGAUAGACUUGUGAAGAUAGGACUGGGCUCUAAACCAGCAGGCAGACCUGCCAUGGGGAGAUGAUCUGGGGCAAAAUGAAGGGUUUCAACCCAUGAAAUUCUGUUGUGUUAAAAACUGUUAUGAAGACCUCAGUGCUGCCCAUGACCAC